GUGCUCGCUUCAGCAGCACAUAUAAUAAAAUUGGAACUUUACAGAGAAGAUUAGCAUGGCCCUUGUGCAAAAAUGAUGCAAAUUUGUGAAGUGUUCCCUAUUAAA